CAAGCUUCUCAGCCUUUUGGCUAAGAUCAAGCAUAGUAUCUGUUCCUAUCAGUUUAAUAUCUGAUACGUAGAAGGCGCUACAGCGGGAUCUGGA
rnacentral:snRNA from 1 species